GGGCGCANKYYUGAUGCAGCCNYGCCGCGUGUAUGAAGAAGGCCUUCGGGUUGUAAAGUACUUUCAGCGAGGAGGAAGGCGUUAAGGUUAAUAACCUUAGCGAUUGACGUUACUCGCAGAAGAAGCACCGGCUAACUCCGUGCCAGCAGCCGCGGUAAUACGGAGGGUGCAARMRWWAANNGGAAUUACUGGGCGUAAAGCGCACGCAGGCGGUYUNUUNAGUCAGAUGUGAAAUCCCCGGGCUCAACCUGGGAACUGCAUUUGAAACUGGCAGGCUUGAGUCUUGUAGAGGGGGGUAGAAUUCCAGGUGUAGCGGUGAAAUGCGUAGAGAUCUGGAGGAAUACC
rnacentral:rRNA from 1 species